CUAGGUAGGGGUGCACUCACCAUAGGGCAGCUCUUGGUCUGGAAGGUAUAAAAGGGAAGGGAAGAAGGGCACUAUUGCUUCUGUUCCUUUCAGGAUCAGAGUGCUGACCUUGGAGGUCAUCUCCUGCCUUGUACAUCCGCUUUGGCUUCCAGUGAGCACCGUUCUGAAUUCCGUGUAGACUCUUCAGUCCCCACCACAGACAGAUCACCCUCUGGAUUCGCGCUACGCUCACAGGGGACACAGCAGUGACAUUCAGAUCUUCGACUAAAUCCUCAGGUCUCCAGUGUGAAGACAGCCUCUGCACUCUUCCCCAUCUGUCUCGAGGUGGCCAUUGUGGUGACAAAAACUCAGCCGGAUGGAGCACAAGGGCACCAAAAAGAUACAAAGAUACUUCUGUGUCAGAUCUCAAGAUCUGUGCCUAAACUGUUCCAAUGAAGUAAACAGCUCUGAGUUGGAUGAGGACCACACUGCUCAGCUCCAAGGCCAUCGAAGACAGGAAGAAUUUGCCCCAAAAAUGUCCCAAGGGAGGACUUGAGGCAAACUUGGAGCAGAGGCAGGAAUACUGCACUACUGGAGCCGUGUGGGCCUCAACAAGGAUCAUUGCCUCGAGAGCACACAGGAUGUGAACACUGUGUCAACCCUGGACAGAGCACCAAUGGCAUGGGCCCCAGAGAUGCUCCACAGCCACUCAGGAAACGCCAAACGGAUUCCUGGGACAGACCUGCCCAAGGCAUGCACACAGCUCUGGACUUACUUGAAGUCAGGGACUCCAGGACCCAGGACCAUGUUCUGCCCUCCUUGGAAGAGACUCCAGCCAUGGGAAAAGGGGAGUGCAGAGCUCCUGCUGAGGCACAGAGUCCAGUGCGGGAAGGACAAGUCCAGGCCCUCCCGCCCCUAGGCUGGGAUCACCCUCCUCUGUGGGACCUGGCGGUGGACAGCCAGGGGGAUUAUGGGAAGAGGAAGAAGAACUGGUGGAAGACCUUCCAGUGUUACAAGCUGCACUGGAAGAGAAGAUGUAGCAGGCACAUUUUGUGUGGGUAGUGAGCCAGUGUCACGCUGAGUAAGGGGAGAGCCCUGUGCUGCUCCGUGGGUCCUUAGCUGAGCAUUGGCCAGCACACCCUGGUGUGGCAUAGGCCUUGUUUACCUCCAGCUCCUGUUCUUACUGUGGGGGCCUGAGCUGUGCUGCUUGUGAAAGUGUUGUAACCGUACUGUUUCCUUGGGAGGUCAUUGGGGACAGGAGAAUCCACAUCAGAGUGAGCUGUUCUACCCCUGUUCACAGAAAGUAGAGAAACUGUGAGCCUUACUUUCCAACAGUCACAGCCGUGGAGAGGAUCUGGGACAGAUGGAAUGAGAACACGGUUAAGUCCCCUCUCCUAGACCCAAGGAAAUAAGGUCACGGAGUAUGCGCUCCAUUGAAAAUCGCUUCCUUGCUUUUGAGAGCCAAACAUUGUCCCCAUUACAGAGAACAAAAGUUCCCCUUCAAUGGCCCUUCGUUAUUCAGGGAAAUUCACCCAGGAAAUUGAUAACUAACCACUUGUUGGACACUGGUGAGAUUGACAGGCUUUCAGGAGGACAGGAAGUGACCAGGAAACAAAUGGCUCAUCUGAGCACAAUAGCAAAAUGCCUGGACCUUCACAUUUUAUACACUGUGACUGUUUUUGCAAUCUCCUUUGUGACUGGGCAGCCUGGACAUAAUCAUUGUGAGAAAUUCU